ACAAAUAAAUCGUAACCACAUUUCCCCUGUUUCUCUCAUUUCAGAUAUUAGCAUUAGGAUAACGCGCUAGACGAUUAUCAAGGAGAGGGAAAAUGUAUGGUACAUAGAUUUUUACGUUGUUUUUUUGCAGGAACGCCUUUCAACCGUUAGGUCAUAUCAGCGGGAUAUUUCUAAAAAUUCCUUGAACUUCACGCUUAGGCUGAUGGCAGACAACUAUCCGUUAGAAAUCAAAAUUCUCACCCUUCGGUAUACUCCGCUUGAAGGAGUCCCAGAUACGCCUCCC